GGUUCAAACUAUUUCAGAGAGAUUUUAUCUUUAAAUCAAUAUUAAAGUCUAUCAAGACAGAAAAGAGGUGACUGUGAAACCUUUAAAUUGAGUUUUUAGUAUUUACAAAAUAAAAAUGAAAUGAAAUUUUUUUAUCUAUUAUCAAAAUACUGAGAAAUAUAUUGAUUCAAAACAGAAAAAGAGAAUUUUCAUCUAAUGGAACUGGUAUGACAAAAACAACAGCGACCACAGCAAAUUUGAAAUUUAUUAUUUAAGGUACUGAUCACUCCUGUAAAGUUUGCCAAAAUCCCACCAGUACUUUGACGUGUCAAAACCAGACAAACUAUCUACCUAUAUUAUUAGUUCUGGCAACAACUUUAUGCAGCAAAGUGGAAUGUGUCAGCAAUAUACAGAAAAAGAGUCAAGGCAAUUCAAAGGUCAAAGUCAAGUUGAUUUCAACCUCCUUGAAGGAAAACACCGUUAUCUUGUGUUCAUCUGUAUAUCUAUGAUAUAAUAGCAUUCAGAGUAAUUCAGUGCAGAUGUUGUGCAUUUGGAUUUGUUCAGCACUUAACACUGCCUGCAUGGCUUCAUUUGGGUAAUUAUAUUUGAGUAAGCUAGGUAUUAGCUAGUAACUGUAUUUAAGCAGGAGAACAUUGUACAAUUACUAUACAGAACCAAAUUUCCAUAAUGCUUCGUGGUCAUGCU